rnacentral:rRNA from 1 species
UACGAAGGUGGCAAGCGUUGUCCGGAUUUAUUGGGUUUAAAGGGUGCGUAGGCGGCCGAUUAAGUCUGGGGUGAAAGCCCGUUGCUCAACAACGGAACUGCCCUGGAAACUGGUCGGCUUGGAGUACAGGACGGAGGGUGGCGGAAUGGAUGACUGUAGCGGUGAAAUGCAAUACGAUAGCAAUCCAGAACCCCCGAUUGCGAAGCAGACUGCCGUA